AGGGCUGACACCACUUGAAGAUAAGCCCGUUCCUCUCUCUGGUAUAUUCUUUGCUUAAUAAAUCUUGUGGGGUGGUUAUUUGUGUGUCUCAUCCAAUUCUUUGUUCAUAACACCAAGAACCUGGAACUCCCAACUUCCAAUCUGGUAACAUAUUUUGGUGAGCCAGCCAGGAGGGUCAAGCCUGCAAUACCUAAAGCUCCAGACCUGGAACCCAAAGCUCCCAUCAGUCGCUACCCUGUGAACCUGUGGAGGAUCUGAAGUACCUGUUUAAAAGGCAUCCAAAAGAUAGAAUCUAUCAAGCUACAAAUGGCUAUGUUGCCUGAAGCCCCAGACAUCAUCCUACAAGAAAUAAGUCCAGACUUCUUAAUUUCCCCCUGGAUAGAGCAGGGUCUUGUUGAACUGGCUAGUGCUUCAACAACAAUGCUAAAUAAUAAAGGAUCUAACAAUAUUUCUGCUUUAAAUUGAUUUCAGAGGGAAUGUCUCUAACGUUGCAGUUAAGUAUCAUAUUCGAUUCAGUUGGAAAGACAUGGUUAAUGCUUAAGAGAGCCAGAAGAACCCAAAUCUUUGAACACACUUAGAGCAACCACAAACUGCUGUUAGAAAACUAAUGUUAAUGUUUAAGAAGUACUUGUUAUUUUAGUUUACCUUAUCAAAUUUGGUCCUGUCAGCAACAUCGAGAUCAGAGGCAGACAUGUUUCCCAUAUCCAACAGGGAAGAUGACUGAGAUCUGCGAUUCCCUGAACUCUGAACACUGAGCUUAUUUAGACUAGAAGUAGAUCCAGUUAAUUUCCCCGAACUUCCAUGAAGACCUAAGAAAUAAUAAAACUUUGAAAGUUGUGAUCUUCACAAAUAAAUGAUCCAAAGUAUAAAGCAGGGAUAGAUCUUCUAUCUUCUACUGGCUUGAUCUUCCAGGGCUCAUAUUAGUUAGUGCACAAAUCUUCUAUAAGGGAUAGGUGGUAUAGUUUCCUUAUCUUCCAUUAACAUUGGUGUCCUAAUUCUGAGCAUAUUGAAAAAAGAAGCGAAACUACACAGAUCCAUAGAACGGGACUGAAAGGGACCUUAAGGAGCAUAUUGUCUAUAACCUGCCCAUUUCAUAAAGUCGCCUGGUGAUAUCGCUAGACUAAAGUAGAUGAGGGUUUCUUUUCCAUUCAAAAGGACAGGAAUAUGGAUGAAGGUCAAUGAGGACCACGUUAGCAUAUUAGCCAGCAUGACUUUGUUAUACUUCAGAAGAAAACUGCUGCAUCUCAAUGUUACCUCCACAAUAAAUCAAUAUAUUAGGUUGAACCACAUGAAACUGCCCAUACUUGAUCAUUUUGCCCUACCAAAAAAAGUCAAUUACAUAUGAUUCAACUUAGUAUGUUCCAAACUCUGAAACUGCUUUUCCAGUAAGUGAACUGAUUAUAGUCCUUUAAAAACUAAAUAAAAUGAACAGAAAAAACA